AGGUAAAAUUCCAUUCCUUCCAAAAAAACUUGAAAUGAGCAAAGCAGCGGCAAACUAGGGCCAGGACUGGACAUCAUGCUGCUGUGUUCUCAGCCCAUCCACACACGGGUUUCAGAGUCCUUCCACAUGACAAAAGUUGAUGGGCAUGACAUGGUCGUUGUGUAAAGAAUUCAACGUCAUGAGAUCACUUCUCCUUCUCAUGGACAUUUGCUAGCACAUAUCAUCAGCCACACUGACCUCAUCCCUCUUUAAAAAGUGUCCAGAUUUUCAUUCUGGUAGCUACCCUUCCCCCAU